UACAGAGGGUGCAAGCGUUGUUCGGAAUUAUUGGGCGUAAAGGGCGCGUAGGCGGUGCGGUAAGUCUCUAGUGAAAUCUCCGGGCUCAACUCGGAGCCUGCUAGGGAAACUGCCGUGCUCGAGUGUGGGAGAGGUGAGUGGAAUUCCCGGUGUAGCGGUGGAAUGCGUAGAUAUCGGGAGGAACACCUGUGGCGAAAGCGGCUCACUGGACCACAACUGACGCUGAGGCGCGAAAGCUAGGGGAGCAAACAGG
rnacentral:rRNA from 1 species